GAUGAAGAACGCAGCGAAAUGCGAUAAGUAAUGUGAAUUGCAGAAUUCAGUGAAUCAUCGAAUCUUUGAACGCACAUUGCGCCCGUCGGCAUUCCGACGGGCAUGCCUGUUCGAGCGUCAUUUCAACCCCUCGGGACCGAACUCCGUGCCCCGACGUUGGGUCCUUCGUCUCCUCCGUCGCGGGGGAGACGGGCCCCGAAUUCAGCGGCGGCGUCCAGCCCCCUCCCGGCGUUGCAACAAACUCGCCAGCGGAGGCGCGAAGGCGCCCGCCCACCGAUCGACCUUCGGUGGGGCUCUCCCGCCCCUCAGUCGUGCGAUUGACCUCGGAUCAGGUAGGGAUACCCGCUGAACUUAAGCAUAUCAAUAAGCGGAGGA
rnacentral:misc_RNA from 1 species